GUGGAAGUGCGGAAUGAUUUAUUACGCAUGUGAUAGACGGGAAAAAACAAAUUUUGGUGUAGAGGUCCAUAAGGUCCAUUUUUUUUCGGUUUAUGCAAAUUUAUCCGUUUGUAUAAUCGGUACGUGAAAAUCAAUGACGUAUGAGCACCAAAGAAUAUAAUAUUCGGCGACACUGUGACGGAAAUAAAAAUAGACCAAAAACAAGGAACAGUAUGUAAUACAAUUAGGU